CGCGCCUCCAUCCUCUCAGCAAUCGCCACCGUCAAGCACCUGGCUCGUGACCGGCGUUACCCCAACACAGUGACGCGCUUCAAACGUUCGAUGUCGACGAUUUCCACUAUUCUGAUGCUGCUGCUGGCCACCCUGAGCAUGGUCAGCGGCCGCUGCCCGGACAACUGCCCAGCGGACUUCCACUGUGCGCCCAACACGCAUUGCUACCCGGAUAUCGACUUCGGUGACCAGCGUCGACUCAUCUGCUGCCCGAGACGAUGACCUCCUGGAUAUGACUUGGAAGAACACGACAUACGGUACAAGACACCAUGAACACACGAGGAACCCGGAGUGAGCGGGCGGGCAGGCGUGGAGCACCGUGGCAUCCCAGCCAGACAGAAAAGGAUGAGAGUUCAACUCAGAGUAAAUUGUGUCGCCAUACUGGUGCUGUUUCAGUACUUUCUGCUUCCAAUGGACGUUGGACGUGGGAUGGAUUUUACACAGCGCGCAAUGAACCGGAGACUUUGGUCACGUGUUGGAUAUGCUUGACAUGCUCACGUUCCAUUUUCGUGCGGAAGAAAUCACAGAUAAAAAUAUGUGAAGCGCAUGCUUUUGUUUCUGAUUGGGCUGUGUUGUAGUGAUAACGCGCACUGCCACGCAAUGCAUGCGCCACGAACGCGAGCGCAUGUCUUUUGCAGUAGUAUGGUGACAGUGCGCAUUGCUAUU